UACGUAGGGGGCACGCGUUGUCCGGAAUUAUUGGGCGUAAAGCGCGCGCAGGCGGCUAGUUAAGUCAGAUGUGAAAGGCUGCGGCUCAACCGCAGAGCUGCAUCUGAAACUGAUUAGCUUGAGUGCAGGAGAGGAUAGUGGAAUUCCCAGUGUAGCGGUGGAAUGCGUAGAGAUCGGGAGGAACCCCAGUGGCGAAGGCGACUGUCUGGACUGUAACUGACGCUGAGGCGCGAAAGCGUGGGGAGCAAACAGG
rnacentral:rRNA from 1 species